rnacentral:rRNA from 1 species
AUGAACGCUGGCGGCGUGCCUAAUACAUGCAAGUCGAGCGAAUAGACGAGGAGCUUGCUCCUCUGACGUUAGCGGCGGACGGGUGAGUAACACGUGGAUAACCUACCUAUAAGACUGGGAUAACUUCGGGAAACCGGAGCUAAUACCGGAUAAUAUAUUGAACCGCAUGGUUCAAUAGUGAAAGACGGUUUUGCUGUCACUUAUAGAUGGAUCCGCGCCGCAUUAGCUAGUUGGUAAGGUAACGGCUUACCAAGGCAACGAUGCGUAGCCGACCUGAGAGGGUGAUCGGCCACACUGGAACUGAGACACGGUCCAGACUCCUACGGGAGGCAGCAGUAGGGAAUCUUCCGCAAUGGGCGAAAGCCUGACGGAGCAACGCCGCGUGAGUGAUGAAGGUCUUCGGAUCAUAAAACUCUGUUAUUAGGGAAGAACAAAUGUGUAAGUAACUAUGCACGUCUUGACGGUACCUAAUCAGAAAGCCACGGCUAACUACGUG